rnacentral:rRNA from 1 species
GACGAGCGCUGGCGGCGUGCUUAACACAUGCAAGUCGAACGGAAAGGCCCUGCUUUUGUGGGGUGCUCGAGUGGCGAACGGGUGAGUAACACGUGAGUAACCUGCCCUUGACUUUGGGAUAACUUCAGGAAACUGGGGCUAAUACCGGAUAGGAGCUCCUGCUGCAUGGUGGGGGUUGGAAAGUUUCGGCGGUUGGGGAUGGACUCGCGGCUUAUCAGCUUGAUGGUGGGGUAGUGGCUUACCAAGGCUUUGACGGGUAGCCGGCCUGAGAGGGUGACCGGCCACAUUGGGACUGAGAUACGGCCCAGACUCCUACGGGAGGCAGCAGUGGGGAAUAUUGCACAAUGGGCGGAAGCCUGAUGCAGCAACGCCGCGUGCGGGAUGACGGCCUUCGGGUUGUAAACCGCUUUCGCCUGUGACGAAGCGUGAGUGACGGUAAUGGGUAAAGAAGCACCGGCUAACUACGUGCCAGCAGCCGCGGUGAUACGUACGGUGCGAGCGUUGUCCGGAUUUAUUGGGCGUAAAGGGCUCGUAGGUGGUUGAUCGCGUCGGAAGUGUAAUCUUGGGGCUUAACCCUGAGCGUGCUUUCGAUACGGGUUGACUUGAGGAAGGUAGGGGAGAAUGGAAUUCCUGGUGGAGCGGUGGAAUGCGCAGAUAUCAGGAGGAACACCAGUGGCGAAGGCGGUUCUCUGGGCCUUUCCUGACGCUGAGGAGCGAAAGCGUGGGGAGCGAACAGGCUUAGAUACCCUGGUAGUCCACGCUGUAAACGGUGGGUACUAGGUGUGGGGUCCAUUCCACGGGUUCCGUGCCGUAGCUAACGCUUUAAGUACCCCGCCUGGGGAGUACGGCCGCAAGGCUAAAACUCAAAGGAAUUGACGGGGCCCCGCACAAGCGGCGGAGCAUGCGGAUUAAUUCGAUGCAACGCGUAGAACCUUACCUGGGUUUGACAUGGAUCGGGAGCGCUCAGAGAUGGGUGUGCCUCUUUUGGGGUCGGUUCACAGGUGGUGCAUGGCUGUCGUCAGCUCGUGUCGUGAGAUGUUGGGUUAAGUCCCGCAACGAGCGCAACCCUUGUUCACUGUUGCCAGCACGUUAUGGUGGGGACUCAGUGGAGACCGCCGGGGUCAACUCGGAGGAAGGUGGGGAUGACGUCAAGUCAUCAUGCCCCUUAUGUCCAGGGCUUCACGCAUGCUACAAUGGCUGGUACAGAGAGUGGCGAGCCUGUGAGGGUGAGCGAAUCUCGGAAAGCCGGUCUCAGUUCGGAUUGGGGUCUGCAACUCGACCUCAUGAAGUCGGAGUCGCUAGUAAUCGCAGAUCAGCAACGCUGCGGUGAAUACGUUCCCGGGGCU